GACAGAGGAUGCAAGCGUUAUCCGGAAUGAUUGGGCGUAAAGCGUCUGUAGGUGGCUUUUCAAGUCCGCCGUCAAAUCCCAGGGCUCAACCCUGGACAGGCGGUGGAAACUACCAAGCUGGAGUACGGUAGGGGCAGAGGGAAUUUCCGGUGGAGCGGUGAAAUGCAUUGAGAUCGGAAAGAACACCAACGGCGAAAGCACUCUACUGGACCUUAUCUGACAUUGAGGGACGAAAGCUAGGGGAGCGAAUGGG
rnacentral:rRNA from 1 species